rnacentral:lncRNA from 1 species
UUUUGAACACAUAUCAAAACUUCACAAAUUUGUUUGGCCAAAGUAAUACAACUUACUUUGAUUCCAAAUUAAUGUAGAACACAAUCGAACAAGGAGAUUGAUAAAGAAAGAGGGAAAGUGAUGUAGGAUGAAUAAGAAAGAAAGAAGAAGGAACGGGGAGGAGAAACAGAGAGAAGGGAGAAGAGGAGAAGAAACCAGAGGAAGAGAGGGGAGGGAGAAAACGGCUGCAAGCCACCAAAAAAUAUUUCAAUUCUAAUUCAUCAUCCACUGUCUCAAAUGAGAAACAAAACAGAAAUAAAUAGCAGAAGAUAAACCCUAAAGAGAAGGGCUUGGGCCAAACCCACUAAACAAGCCCAAUAACGAAAACAUAAACAAUAGUCCAAAUAAAAUAUAACUAAGAGUCCAAAUAGAAAAUAAAUAAUAAAUGGAUGUGCGCAUCAACUCUCCCGGGAUGGGAGAAAAACUCGACCCCGUCGAGUAGAUAAAGUAGAAUGUUGCACUGAAUCUGAUGCGAAAGGCUCCAAGUCAUGCCACGGGGGACGAUCUUUCUCGAUGACCAAAUACCGAAACUCCACAAAUGAUAACAAGGAUAGUUGUAGCUUAUCCUCAAGGAUAUGAUCCAACCAAGGAGGACGAUCUUUCUUUGUAAUCACAUACUGAUACUGAACUCCCAAUAGUAAAAAUUCAUGCCACUCAUCUCCAAAAUCUUCCUCAUUGGUCAACACAACCUGUUUAUCUAAAAUAGCAUCAAUUACAUCUUUGUGUGCUGUGACAUGUGUUAUUGGAGUGAAAAUGGUAACAUAUUUAGGUUGGGGAUCCACAUAAGAAAGUAGAAAAGGAUCAUCAAGGAAAUUAAAAAGGCCUUUGUAAGUAACUAAGUCUUCAAUAUGUAAAGUAGAGUGGUGGCCAAAAUGUGAUGAAAAAUUAAUGACAUGUGCGUAUGGACCAACAUGCUUUAAAACUUUAAAAGGACCAGCACUACCGGCUUGCAAUAUAACAUAAUCCCCAAUAUGAAAUUGAAAAUAUUGUUUAUGCAAAUCAGUUUGAAAUUUAUAUAAUGCAUUACUUGCGUGAAGUUGUUUAUUNN